rnacentral:lncRNA from 1 species
GCAAGGAACUGUUUACGCCUUCUGUGCUUCUGUGUUACUGUAGAAGAGACUGCCUCAUGUUAUAGAACAAUUUACAACCUACAACACUGUUUUAGAAAAGCAUAAGCUACCUUUCAAAUGGGCCGCGGAAAUCAUUGUGAAAGGCAGCAUAUAUUGGGAAGAGAUUAGAUGCAGAACUUAGUGCCUUUGAGAAGACUAUAAUUAAGUCAAAUUAAGAGGGGUUUAAAAAGGCAAUUUAGAGAAUAUUCUUAUAAAAUUUUAUUGUUUCUAUAUAAGAAACAACAGAUUACACAAAUUCCUUACUCCAAAGUAUUUUUUUAGCUGAAAAAAAUUAUUUUGAGCAAAUAACCAAAAAGACAUUUGUCUAUUUUGUAUUCAUUUAAAUUUGUUAGCUUUAGGUUUCAAUGAGUCAUAAUUGGCCAGAGACAACUUUAGCUACUAAGACAUGAUAAAGAUAAUCUAGUGAAACAAAAGUUCAUACAUACUAUGAUUUCAAAUUUGUCUAUCACAGAGACAAUGCUGAGUUUCAGAGAUACUACAAAGAGUUUGAAUCUCUUUCUGCACUACAGCCUUUUGAUAGAAACACAUUUCUGUGUUGACAGAUAAUAUGGUAGACCUGUAAAGAUGGCAUUCAGAUAUGUUAAUUAGAGCCUAGCUCAUUUGCAGGGCUAUACUUCCCAUGGCACAAAGAAAACUUACUGAUGUCAAUGGGAAACCCUUUUGUUUAUCCCCAGGAAAACUCAUGAUGAUUCUGGCAAAAGAUGACCUUUGUUUUAUGGUAGUAUAUAUAUAGGUAUAUAGAGAUAUAUAUAUUUGGGAAAUAUAUAAUUUUUUCAAACAGGAAGUCAUUAGAACAAGUGGUGAGUGAAAUGCUGCAGAAUGUAUAUUCUACAACUAUGACAUACCGCUAAUUAUUGAAAUAGUCAAGCUUAUACAUUUAAUUGCUGUGACAAGUGACAGACUGGUAGUUCAGAAAAUCCUUGUCUAGUUUGUAAUUGGCUGAAUUCAUUGUCCUUGCCAUCAGGGCAAAGUACACAGCUUCAGUUUUUGAGAGUUCUUUGAAGUUUGGUAUUUCUUCAUCCACAGAAUCCAUUGUUGACGUAUCCAUUUUCAGUUAUGAUGCCUUAACUAAGAAGCUACUUGCUAGCCUGAAAGACAGUCUCAGUAGCCAGUUCCAUUGAAUACAGAGAAAACAUAAGCUGCUGAGCUUUAGCAUGGGCUUCUAAGUCCCGUUGUUUCUCCUUGGACACACUUUGUGGGUGGAUUAGUCUUUCAGUAUAGAAGCAAGCUGCUACCUGACAUUUUCUUGCCCUUAUAGGGAAAGUGAGCACAAGCUGAAUGAUAUUGUCUGCUAGGAAAAGAGAGAGCGAGCGAGAGAGAGAGACAGAGAGAGAGAGAGACAGAAAGACAGAGACAGAGAGAGAGAAGAAAGGAAAGGGGAG